UACGUAGGGUGCGAGCGUUGUCCGGAAUUAUUGGGCGUAAAGAGCUCGUAGGCGGUCUGUCGCGUCUGCUGUGAAACCCGAGGCUCAACCUCGGGCCUGCAGUGGGUACGGGCAGACUAGAGUGUGGUAGGGGAGACUGGAAUUCCGUGGUGUAGCGGUGGAAUGCGCAGAUAUCAGGAGGAACACCGAUGGCGAAGGCAGGUCUCUGGGCCAAUUACUG
rnacentral:rRNA from 1 species